rnacentral:rRNA from 1 species
UACGAAGGGGGCUAGCGUUGUUCGGAAUCACUGGGCGUAAAGCGCACGUAGGCGGAUUGUUAAGUCAGGGGUGAAAUCCCGGGGCUCAACCUCGGAACUGCCUUUGAUACUGCAAAUCUCGAGUCCGGAAGAGGUGAGUGGAAUUCCUAGUGUAGAGGUGAAAUUCGUAGAUAUUAGGAAGAACACCAGUGGCGAAGGCGGCCUGCUGGGCUGUUGCUGACGCUGAGGCGCGACAGCGUGGGGAGCAAACAGG